rnacentral:misc_RNA from 1 species
GAUGAAGAACGUAGCGAAAUGCGAUAAGUAAUGUGAAUUGCAGAAUUCAGUGAAUCAUCGAAUCUUUGAACGCACAUUGCGCCCAUUAGUAUUCUAGUGGGCAUGCCUGUUCGAGCGUCAUUAAGUCCACUUAAGCCCUGCUUAGUGUUGGGAGACUGCUCCAGCGGUGCUACCCUGUAGCUACCCUGCAGCUCCUCAAAGACAGCGGCGGAGUUGUGGUAUCCUCUGAGCUUAGUAACUUGUUCUAGCUUUCGAGUAUACCACUUCCCCUGCCGUAAAACCCUUAAUUUUUAAUGGUUGACCUCGGAUCAGGUAGGAAUACCCGCUGAACUUAAGCAUAUCAAUAAGCGGAGGA